GACGAACGCUGGCGGCGUGCUUAACACAUGCAAGUCGAACGGAAAGGCCCUGCUUUUGUUUGGUGCUCGAGUGGCGAACGGGUGAGUAACACGUGAGUAACCUGCCCUUGACUUUGGGAUAACUUCAGGAAACUGGGGCUAAUACCGGAUAGGAGCUCCUGCUGCAUGGUGGUGGUUGGAAAGUGUCGGCGGUUGGGGAUGGACUCGCGGCUUAUCAGCUUGUUGGUGGGGUAGUGGCUUACCAAGGCUUUGACGGGUAGCCGGCCUGAGAGGGUGACCGGCCACAUUGGGACUGAGAUACGGCCCAGACUCCUACGGGAGGCAGCAGGGGGGAAUAUUGCACAAUGGGCGGAAGCCUGAUGCAGCAACGCCGCGUGCGGGAUGACGGCCUUCGGGUUGUAAACCGCUUUCGCCUGUGACGAAGCGUGAGUGACGGUAAUGGGUAAAGAAGCACCGGCUAACUACGUG
rnacentral:rRNA from 1 species